rnacentral:rRNA from 1 species
AGCGACUGAUUAGAAGCUUGCUUCUAUGACGUUAGCGGCGGACGGGUGAGUAACACGUGGGCAACCUGCCUGUAAGACUGGGAUAACUUCGGGAAACCGAAGCUAAUACCGGAUAGGAUCUUCUCCUUCAUGGGAGAUGAUUGAAAGAUGGUUUCGGCUAUCACUUACAGAUGGGCCCGCGGUGCAUUAGCUAGUUGGUGAGGUAACGGCUCACCAAGGCAACGAUGCAUAGCCGACCUGAGAGGGUGAUCGGCCACACUGGGACUGAGACACGGCCCAGACUCCUACGGGAGGCAGCAGUAGGGAAUCUUCCGCAAUGGACGAAAGUCUGACGGAGCAACGCCGCGUGAGUGAUGAAGGCUUUCGGGUCGUAAAACUCUGUUGUUAGGGAAGAACAAGUACGAGAGUAACUGCUCGUACCUUGACGGUACCUAACCAGAAAGCCACGGCUAACUACGUGC